rnacentral:rRNA from 1 species
UACGUAGGUGACAAGCGUUGUCCGGAAUUAUUGGGCGUAAAGAGCUCGUAGGCGGUCUGUCGCGUCGAUCGUGAAAACUUGGGGCUUAACCCUGAGCUUGCGGUCGAUACGGGCAUGACUGGAGUUCGGCAGGGGAGACUGGAAUUCCUGGUGUAGCGGUGAAAUGCGCAGAUAUCAGGAGGAACACCGGUGGCGAAGGCGGGUCUCUGGGCCGAUACUGACGCUGAGGAGCGAAAGCGUGGGGGGCGAACAGG